AUUGAACGCUGGCGGCAUGCUUUACACAUGCAAGUCGAACGGCAGCACGGGGCAACCCUGGUGGCGAGUGGCGAACGGGUGAGUAAUAUAUCGGAACGUACCCGGAAAUGGGGGAUAACGUAGCGAAAGUUACGCUAAUACCGCAUAUGCCCUAAGGGGAAAGCGGGGGACUCGCAAGAACCUCGCGUUUUCGGAGCGGCCGAUAUCGGAUUAGCUAGUAGGUGAGGUAAAGGCUCACCUAGGCGACGAUCCGUAGCUGGUCUGAGAGGACGACCAGCCACACUGGAACUGAGACACGGUCCAGACUCCUACGGGAGCAGCAGUGGGGAAUUUUGGACAAUGGGCGCAAGCCUGAUCCAGCCAUGCCGCGUGAGUGAAGAAGGCCUUCGGGUUGU
rnacentral:rRNA from 1 species